AUGAGGUUCCCACCACAGCUGGCUGGCUGGUGUCUGGAGAGGGAGAGAGGAGGCCAGGCUAGGUCUUUGUGGCAAGGGGGCUCUCUUUUUGGCCCCCUGCCUGACCCUUCUGACAACAGCAGCCAGAAGAUGCAGCAUGGGUCUUCCUGGCCAGCUUCCGGUAGAAAGGAAACCCCUCCUUGCUCCUCCUUGUCCUGCCCCAGCUUGCUGGCGGGGCUCUCAGGAGAAGGGAGGGGGACCCAGGCUAAGUCUGUGUGUCAGGGGGUCUCCUUCUCCUGCCCAGUUCUCAGCAAACUGAAAAGUCAGCUGAGCAGGCCCAUGCUGCAGUUUCUGGCUGCAUCUGUCCAGAAGCUGAGGAAGAGUGGGAAGGGAGCCCCCUGCUAUGGACCUCCCUCCCACACAGCUUGCUAUCUGGGACCUCAGGGGAGGAAGGGUACAGGUUGGGUCUGUGUGGCAGCAGGGCUCCCUUCCACCCUUGCCCCAGCCUCUUGGCAGCUGCAUCCUGGAGCUGCAGCACAGAGUUGCUGGCUAGUUUUUUGCCACACCAGGAACCGGGGUGGGUGGGAAAGGGAACCCCACCUGCCCCAUGGACACAGCCUGGUCCCUGUGAAGACUGCAGUCAGCAAGCUGUGGGAGAGGGCCCUUUCAGCAAGGGGGCUCCCUUCCUCCCCAGUCCCAGCUCCUGGCAUGGUGAAAAGCUGGCGUGACAGCUCUGUGCUUCAGCACCUGUCUUCUGUUGUCAGGAGGGUUGGGUGGGGAGGGGGGAAAGGGAGUGCUCCCAUUGCACAGACCCAACCCAGCCUGGCCUGGCUUUUUGCCACGCUAGGAACUGGGGCUGGGUGGGGAAACAGCCUUUGCCGUGUGGACCUGGUCCAGUUCCUACCAAAACUGAAGCCCGCAAGCUUAUUGGGGGAAGGGAUGCAUGUGUCAGAGAUACUCUGUUGUCCCACCUCUCUGCCCAACUGCACAGGGAGGAGAUGGAGCCUUUUGUGUCUCCUCUCUGUGAUAGCUUAG
rnacentral:lncRNA from 1 species